UUUUUUUUUUUUUUUUUUUUUUUAAGAUUUUGUUUAUUUACUUGAGAGAGACAGAGACAUAGGCAGGCUCCCCACAGGGAGCCUGAUGCAGGACUCACAACCUGAGCCAGAGGCAGACACUCCACCACUGUCAUAAUGCAGAAGCAGCCCUAGACAAUAUGUAAAUCAAUGAGUAUGCCUAUGUUUUAAUAAAACUUCAUUUAAGGAAAUGAGCCAUGGGCUGAGUUUGGCCCACCAAAGUUUUUACUACCCCUUGCUUUUAGUUCUCUCAACAAUCUGCUCUUAGAAUGGAAUUUUUUAAAUUAAAACCAAGUUUGAUACAGUUUUUUUUUGUGAUGUAUACCAGCUGUAUAAAAGUCACAAAAUAUAAAAAAUAUGCAUAUAAGUUACCAAUGUAAAUGUAUUUAAAAGUGAAGAGAAUGUAAGUAAUGAAAGUGAUUAGUGGGUAAAGUAAAUGGGUCAUUUGUGUGCAAACGGUAAUGCAUCUUACAGAGGAAUUAACAGUAAAACAGGUGCUGUGGGAAUUUCUGUCCAGGUUAGGUGAGAAAUAGAUACUAGUUAUUUAAGUGAUUUGAAAUAGCCCUUAAGAAAAGUAAUUAGAGUUCUUGGGAUGGAGGAGAAUGGAGGUGAGGUAAAAACAAUAUUUACUGAUUUUUUUUUCCCACUACUGAUAUCUGCUUAUUUAACUUGGAAUAUGUCCCAUUUAAUCGGGGUAUUGGCACUGUUUAUUCCUUAUUUUAGCAAUUUGUUAGGAUUCUUAUUUUCAGCAAAGUGCCUUGACUCCAUUGAAGAUCUUAUCCAGUGAAACUUGCUGGAGAAAUUUCUAGGACAUUAUUUGUUGCUAGUUGAGAAGGUAGCAUUAGCAGAAAAAUUUUCCUAUAAUGCAGUUGAAAUAGGAUCAGUUUGGUUGAUUUUGGUGUUCAUUGGUUUAAAUAUGUUCUUAAUUGGAUAAUUGAGAAGUAGUAUCUUGGAACAGGUAUUUUACCUCUUCAAAGUCUUCUUUGAAUGUUUUUUUUUUUUUUUUUUUAGUUCUGUCUUUUGAGCUUCUGUUAAUAAGUGCCCCAAAUUUAAAAAUCAUCUUUCUUUAAAAAGUACAUACCAUUAUUAUGAUAGUGUAAAUGUUUGAGUAAAGAGUGUAGGAAGAAUGUUAAUAUUAGGUAGAUCAAUCUAAAAAAUCAUGAUUUUAGUCAAUGUCUAGAAUGUACUUACUAAAAAAAUAAAAAAUACUCAUUUCUAGUAAAGUCAUUUUUAAUAUGUUAGAAAAAUUCUUCCUUGAUGUGAAGGUAAUGUUCAGGUUGCAAGUGAAAUUGCUUCUUUCGGUUAAGGUGCCUGCUCUCAUCAAUUAUUUCAUAAGUUAUUGCUAAUGUAAAAAGAUAGGAAAACAAAAUGAAAAAUUUGGAUAGAGAAUAAAAUACUAUUUGCAAAUUACUUGAUUGCAAUAUUUUGAAAAUCCAAAGAAUUACACUGAAAAUUAGCUUUCCUUUUUUUUCUUUUAAGAUUUAUUUAUUUAUUUAUUCAUAAGAGACACAGAGAAAGAGAGGCAGAGACGCAGGCAGAGGGAGAAGUAGGCUCCAUGCAGGGAGCCCGAUGUGGGACUUGAUCCCGGGUCUCCAGGAUCACUCCCUGGGCUGAAGGUGGCGCUAAACUGCUGAGCCACCCAGGCUGCUCCAAAAAUUAGCUUUCCUAAACAAUAAUAAUCAAUUGGCAAAUUAUAAGAGAAGACCCAUUUAUAGUAAGAUCCACAAAAUAAUAAAAGUUAUGUGGCGCUGCCAAAGGAAAAAACUACAAAACUUAACUGGGAGAUACAGUGUCUCUGGGUAUAAGAUUAAAUAUAUCCCCAUUUGAUAGGUCCCAUUUUCCACACAGAUCUUCCACAGAAGGCUUGUAUCAAGUGGGAGGUGGCAGCUGGUUAGUGGUGCCCAUUGUACCAUUCCCAAAUCCUGUAGUGUAAGGAGAAUCAGGGCAGGACAGCUACUCUUAUUGUACAAGUACCUUUCCAACACAACCGUGUUAUGAGAGACCUGCCCUGGUGAGCUUGGCAUCCAGAUGACAGCUUAUAUCUCUCAAAGCUUUCUGGGGACAGAAGAGCUAUUCUGUGUACAUUCAGCAGCUGGUGAACAUUAUUUUUUUUAAUUAUUUUUUAUUUUAAGAUUUUUUAAUUUAUUCAUGAGAAACACAGAGGUAGAGACACAGGCAGAGGAAGAAACAGGCUCCAUGUAGGGAGCCCGAUGCAGGCUUGAUCCUGGAACUCUGGGAUCACGCCCUGAGCCAAAGGCAGAUGCUCAACCACUGAGCCACUCAGGCAUCCCACUAGUGAACAUUAGAGCAGAUUCCGUCCUCUGUGAUUCUGGGCUAUAGAAGAUCCAUACUGGGAGGUGAUAGAAGAUUCUCCCCCAUGUUGUCCUCUAACCCCUGACACAACUGCUCUGCAGGGAGGAUCUGGGAGACAUUCAGCGAAGAGCCAGGUUUCCCAUACCCUCACUCCUACGCCCUACCAAACAUGCUCCAUAGUACAAAGGCGAAGAAAGGGGUUCACUUUAAGAGAAGGGUUGAGUGAGCUUGACAGCACACUUCCCAUAUACUAGGGGCCUAACUUUACCUGGAACAGACUGGAGCUGUUUGUACCCCCAAAAUUGUUGAAAACUAUAGGACAAUCAGCUACCAAUUAAAUAGAGGCUAGCAGUUACUGGUAAUACCAAUAGAUACCAGCCAGAAAGCUUAAAGACCAAAUCGGGGAGACAAAGACUGGGUAAAACUACAGACAUCCCUUGUGAUUAAUGUGUGUGAUUCAGGGCUAGAGCCACAUAGGAACAACCAGAGUUACAAGUCCCUAACAGAAUGUAGGACAAAACUUGUAAACUCCCUAAACAGUGAAAGAUGCCACACCCCACAUAUUGUUGUAGGGUGUAAAUCUCCCUGAUUCAGGGGGCUUAAACACAACCUCUUAUUAAUUAAUGGCUGAUCAUUAAUGAUGCUGACUCAGAAGCAACCCUUAGGAAGUCAUCCUUAAAGAUAAAAAUGAGAGAAACAACUUGAGCAGGAACAUCAGAUGUGUCCCUGCACAUUGUGAGGGACACAGACUUCAUGAAUUAGUUCAGCCAUGCCACUAAAUAAAAAAUAAGCUCAGAGUAGACCGGAGAACCACCAUGUAGACAUCCUACAAUAUGUUACCUAAAACCUGUUUUCAACACAAAAUUAUGAGACAUUCAAAGAAACAAAGUGUGACACGUGGACAAAAGCAGGCAACAGAAAUUUCCUUUGAUGGACAGCAGAUACAGGAUAAGUGUUCUGAAACAAUUGUAAAUCUGUUCAAACACCUAAAGAAAACCAAGUUUAAAGAAUUAAAGUAUGCUGACUGUGACUCAUCAAAUGUAAAUAAAAAGGUAGGAAGAAAAAGAGCUAAAUGAAAAUUUUGGGAGUUGAAAAUUUGGAACUUUUGCUAGGGAGGCUCAAUAGUACAUUUAAGCUGGCAGAAGAAUCAGCAAACCUGAAGAUGGAUGGAGAGAAAUUACAAAAUCUGAAGCACAAAUGGGAAAAGGAAUGGGAAAAAAAAAAAAAAAAAAAGCCUUCCUCACACUACAUGCACAAGUCAACUCAAGAUGGAUCAUAAACCAAAAUAUAAGCAAAACCCAUAAAACUCAUGAAAAUAUUGUGACCUCUUUAAGUAGUCGUCUUAGAUAUGACACCAAAAUCACAAAUGAAAAAAGAAAUAAUUUAAAAUGCAUAGUUUUUAUUAGAUUAUGAGUUGACCUAUUUCAUCUAAUUCAAUAAUUUCAAUAAAAACUUUGCUCUACAUAUCUUCAUUCCUCUAGCAAUGUUUAUCUGGGAAUGUCUUAAUUUUUUUCUUCCUUUUUGAAGGAUAGUUUUGCUGACUAUAGAAUUGAUUGACAGUUUUUUCUGUUCAGCACCUUGAGUACAUCAUCUCACUGCUUCUGGCCUCCAUGGUUUCUGUAGAUAAGUCAGCUGUUAAUCUUAUUGAGGAUCCCUUGUAUUGAUGAGUCCCUUGCUGUUUCAAGAUUGUCUCUUGCUUUUGUUUUUAAUAGUUUGAUUAUAAUAUGUCUGGGUAUACAUAUCUUUGAGAACUUGGGAGUUCCUGGAGUUUCAUGGAUUUGUAGGUUAAUAUUUAUCAUCAGAUUUGGGAAGUUUUUUUCAAAUAUUCUUUUCGAUGCUUUUUUCCCUUUUCCUCUGAGACUCACAUUAUAUAUAUGCUGUUAUACUUGUUGGCUCUAUUCUCUUAGGCUCUGUUCAUUUUCUUCAUUUUUUUCCUGUUCCUCAAACUGUACGAUGUCAGUUGAUCUAUCUUUAAGUUUAUAUAUUCAUCUGCUUGCUCAAAUCUGUUGCUGAGCCACUCAAGUGAAAUUUUCAUUUCAAUUAUUAUACUUUUCAACUCUAAUUGAAAGUUAUAGAUUUAAAAGUUCUUUUCACUACUUCUAUUUAUAGUCUUCAUUUGGUUGAAACAUACUUUGAUUUCAUUCUUUAGACAUGGCUUCAUUAAAAUCUUUGCUUAGAAAAUCCGGUGUCUGGGCUUUCUCAGGAUAUCUAUUGAUUGCUUUUCCUCCUGCGUAUGAGCCAUAUUUUCCUCUCUUUGCAUGCCUUGUAAUUCUUAGUUGAAAACAGAACUUUUAAAUUAUAAUGUGGCAACACUGAAAAUCAGAUUCUCCACUCCCUCUUCCAUCCUAGUGUUUGUUGUUGCUGCUUGUUGUAGUUGUUGUUUGUCUAGUAACUUUUCUGAACUAAUUUUGUAAAGUCUGUAUUCUUUGUCAUGUGUGGCCACUGAAGUAUCUGUUGUUAACUUAAUGGCCAGCUAAUGAUUGGACAGAGAUUUCCUUAAACAUCCAGAAUGAAAAAAUUUCCCACUGUUUGCCGUGGAUUCUGUGUGUGUUUUUGUGGUGCACAUCCAGCACUCAGCCAGGUAGUUUACAAUUGUGCCUUAACCUCAGCUUUCUACUUAGGAGAACCUCCAGGUCAGUCAGAGAUGACAGCUUGAGGCCUUCUCAGGGCUUUCCUUAGAAUACACACAGCCCUGACCAUGCAUGUCGCCUUCUAGAUUCCCAGGAAUAU
rnacentral:lncRNA from 1 species